GGAAGCAAAAGUCGUAACAAGGUUUCCGUAGGUGAACCUGCGGAAGGAUCAUUACUGAGUGAGGGCCCCUCGGGGUCCAACCUCCCACCCGUGUUUAACGAACCUUGUUGCUUCGGCGGGCCCGCCUCACGGCCGCCGGGGGGCAUCUGCCCCCGGGCCCGCGCCCGCCGAAGCCACCUGUGAACGCUGUCUGAAGUAUGCAGACUGAGACAAUUAUUAAAUUAAUUAAAACUUUCAACAACGGAUCUCUUGGUUCCG
rnacentral:misc_RNA from 1 species